UAUAGUGGACAUGGAGAUCCACGCUAAUUGAUAAGCUAACCUCAAAUAUCAGGGAAUUCAGGAGAAGUCAUCAGAAAAAUGCAGAGGAUCACAUAUCAUUUAAAUGGCGUACAACAGAAUGUUCUAAUUUGGAAUCUAAAAUAAAACCAAAUCCAUUAGGAACGAUGAACAUCUUCAUUAAGUUACAUGAGAGUGAUGAGAGUACUACGAAAGCACAAGCACAGCAUUGAAAAAAAUUAGAAUUAGAUGAAGCAGGGAAAAAAAAUCGGAAACUAGAGAUUUAAAAUGAAAGUUUGUCUAAAUUUUAGACAUAGAAUUCGAAAAAAAACAAGAGUAAAGAGCACCUU